AUCAAUGAAACAAAAACGGGAAUGAAAACACAAUUUUAUAGAGGUAGAAAAUGAAAUCACUUAUCGAAAGUAAAUAGUAAACAAAUCAAGAGCAGAAAACCUAAUCUAUUUUCGUCAUUAUACAAUCGAUAUUGCCUAUUUGGUUUUGGUGAUUUGUGUCAUCCGCAAAACUUAAUUUUUUUGUGCAUAUGAAAUCUUAAAAAUAAUUAAAAUGAGAUGUAAUACGUUAAUUAUUCUACAACGAUAAUAUAUUUAAGAGACCAAUAUUUGUAUUCGUCAUUUUAUAAUCGAUAAAAAUUGUAGUGUUGUAAAAUUUCAAAACCAUUUAAUAAAUAAAUAUUAUUAUAAAAAUUCACUCCGUGCAUGAGUGCGGGUUAUUUAUAAGUUGUAUAACAGGCUACAAGUCUUUUAGGAUGCUCUGCACAUUUUCUUUCCUCGCGAUUACAUUUUCAGCCUACGGAAAGUUGAUGCAAAUCUUACAUCAAGACUUGCUAUGCCUUUUUUUCUUCGUAAAUUUCCUCAACAAAGAUGCAAUCUUAUAAUUGACUUAAAUGAAAAUAGUAAAUUUACUGUAUGAUGAGUUUCAAAAGAUGUCCAAAAUAUUUGUUGAAUAUCUUAGAGUGAUUUACAGUAAUAGACACUUUUUGUCUUUUUAUUACAUAAUAAGACACAUGUUGCUCCUUGCACACUUAUUUAUGUCGAAAAGACUCUAAAACCCCUAACUAAAAGAAUUAAAGCAAUUGAAUAUAUUUGCUGUCUUGGGCGGUGAAUCAAAUAUUUCAAUUACAAAUUAAUUUAAAAUCUUGAUCUAGGAAGGAUGAAACGCUGGCCACACAUUUUUUAUCUACUUUAUUCGUUUUUAUCUUUUAUAUUCUCUCACAGACUCCAUUCUACGAAGAGAAAAAAUCAUUUGAUUUCCUCUCAUUCUCUGGUUGAUGACGGCCGGUGUUAAAAGAGUAAAGUUUGAAGCUGAGAUUCGAAGGCCAGGUGUCAAGGUUGUUUGCAACAGAGAGAAUUCUGAGAAAAUAAUUAAAUGUGUACUCAAAGUCGGAUGUUUUUUUGUUUGGUAUGAAACCUCCACUCGGUGUGAUAUUUUUUUCUUGGACUAUAUAUGUAAGUUUGUUGGAAUGUAAGUGGAUGGUUGAAUAGGUCAUCGCACAUGAGGAGAUGAAAUGGGAGUAUAAAAUCCAAGUGUACGUGUUGGUGUAUGUAGUAUACUAAAGACAUUGUAUAUGGUGUGUGUGUACAACAAUUGUGGAAGGAUAAUUGUGGACAGAGAUGGUGGAGGCUUUACGUACAUAUUAGAUUUGAUAUAGUACAUAUGUACAAUAACGAUAAUAGUGUACUUGUGUACAAAGAAAAAAAGAUAUGUACACAUGGACAUUACAAGUAAAGCCAAUGUUCAAUAAGAACGAGGAGCAUGUGUCUAAUUAGAACAAAACCUGAGUAAGAAGAGUGAAGAGUAGUCAAUCCUAAAGAGAAGAUAAAAACUUCACUGAUCCAAAAUAGAAAAGUAGCAAGGGGAAGAAAAAAAUAGAUUAGCAACAAAUGUAAACAACAAUGUAAAUGUAUGCAUAUAUUGCAACUGAUGGUCGUGGAUGUGUAUAAAACUAGAACAGAUGCUUGUGUAGAAAUGCAAAAGCAAGUUUUCGUUCAAGCUGAAUAGCAGUGUGGUUAAUGUUCUAGAGACAACCAUGAACAUU